GCCGGGCAUGGUGGCGUGUGCCUGUAAUCCCAGCUUCUUGGGAGGCUGAGGCAGGAGAAUUGCUUGAACCAUGGAGGUGGAGGUUGCAGUGAGCUGAGAUCGCGCCAUUGCACUCUAGCCUAGGUGACAGAGCAGACAACAUCUCGAAAGAAAAAAAACAGACAGAAUCUUGCUCUAUCACCCAGGUUGGAGUUCAGAGGUGUGAACUUGGCUCACUGGAACCUCCACCUCCCAGGUUCAAGUGAUUCUCCUGCCUCA
rnacentral:sRNA from 1 species